CCUACGGGUGGCAGCAGUGAGGAAUAUUGGUCAAUGGACGAGAGUCUGAACCAGCCAAGUAGCGUGAAGGAUGACUGCCCUAUGGGUUGUAAACUUCUUUUAUAUGGGAAUAAAAUGUUCCACGUGUGGGAUUUUGUAUGUACCAUAUGAAUAAGGAUCGGCUAACUCCGUGCCAGCAGCCGCGGUAAUACGGAGGAUCCGAGCGUUAUCCGGAUUUAUUGGGUUUAAAGGGAGCGUAGGUGGAUUGUUAAGUCAGUUGUGAAAGUUUGCGGCUCAACCGUAAAAUUGCAGUUGAAACUGGCAGUCUUGAGUUCAGUAGAGGUGGGCGGAAUUCGUGGUGUAGCGGUGAAAUGCGUAGAUAUCACGAAGAACUCCGAUUGCGAAGGCAGCUUACUGGACUGCAACUGACACUGAGGCUCGAAAGUGUGGGUAUCAAACAGGAUUAGAUACCCCAGUAGUC
rnacentral:rRNA from 1 species